AUUGAACGCUGGCGGCAGGCCUAACACAUGCAAGUCGAGCGAGCGGCGGACGGGUGAGUAAUGUCUGGGAAACUGCCUGAUGGAGGGGGAUAACUACUGGAAACGGUAGCUAAUACCGCAUACCAUCAGAUGUGCCCAGAUGGGAUUAGCUAGUAGGUGGGGUAACGGCUCACCUAGGCGACGAUCCCUAGCUGGUCUGAGAGGAUGACCAGCCACACUGGAACUGAGACACGGUCCAGACUCCUACGGGAGGCAGCAGUGGGGAAUAUUGGACAAUGGGGGAAACCCUGAUCCAGCCAUCCCGCGUGUGCGAUGAAGGCCUUCGGGUUGUAAAGCACUUUUGGCAGGAAAGCGUUACCCGCAGAAGAAGCACCGGCUAACUCCGUGCCAGCCGCCGCGGUAAUAC
rnacentral:rRNA from 1 species